GCCAAAAUUAAAGAGCUAGGUCUGUCGCACGAUCAAAUAUAUAAUGCAGACGAGUUGGGACUAUUUUGGAAGCUGCUACCUGACAGAACAUACGUAUCCUCACAAGAAAAAAAUACUCCUGGAAGAAAAAGGGAAAAACAGCGUGUCACUUUUCUGGCUUGUACAAACGCAAUAGGGAUGCAUAAAGUUAAACUUUYUGUUAUUGGAAAGGCAAAAAAUCCUCGCUCUUUUAAAAAUUUUGAUUCUCCUGUUGACUACAAUUUCUCCGACUCGUCAUGGAUGACGGCUACCAUUUCUAAACAUUGGUUUCACCAUUCGUUUGUACCACAGGAAAUUUUUAAAUGAUCAAGGAUUGCCCAAUAAAGCUCUGCUGUUGAUAGACAAUGCUCCAUCUCAUCCUCCCGAAAAUUAAUUGAGAUCAGUUGCGAGUUAAUAACUGCAAUGUUUAUGCCACCUAAUACCAUACGACUUACAGUCUUUUGGCAUCAAUUGUAGCCACAGGUACUGAUGUUAUUGAAGCCCUAAAGAAUAUGACGUUAAGAGACGCUAUUGGCUAUUUAGAUUUAGAGUGGUAACGUCUUGAAAAGGAAACAAUAGCAAAAUGCUGGAUGAACAUUUUAAGCCCUAUAGAAGAUGAAAAAGACUAUGAUAAUAUCGGAAUAUCCUCCAUUAGCUACUUUAAGAGAAUGGAUUUGUUUAUCAAUUAACUGCCAACAAGAACGCGCAAUAGAAUUGCUUCAUUCAAUUAAUCCAGAGGUUAGUUUUUCAAUUACUGAUAUCAAUGAAGGGACUGAAGAUUUUCCUAACUCAACCGAAACGAACGAGGUUUUAACUAGUGGUGAAAGUGAAAGCGAGGAUAGUAAUCUGGAAAGACCAYAUACAAGAAUAGAGCCUAGUGAAGCAACUAACAUUUUUAAUAAAGCUUUGGAAUGGGCGGAAGUCGAAAAUAUAAGUUCAGCAGAUAUCAGCGUACUUAAACGUCUCCACGAAAAGCCGUGUUCAGCAAUUUGCAAAAAAAGAAAAUCCUAAAAACGAUAAAACCAUUUUUUUCAAUAAUUUCAAUAGAUAUUUUUUUUCUUAACAAAACCUAAACAUAUAAAUUACAUGU